AGAGUUUGAUUAUGGCUCAGGACGAACGCUGGCGGCGUGCUUAACACAUGCAAGUCGAACGGUAAGGCCCCAGCUUGCUGGGGUACACGAGUGGCGAACGGGUGAGUAACACGUGGGUGACCUGCCCCGCACUUCGGGAUAAGCCUGGGAAACUGGGUCUAAUACCGGAUAGGACCGCACCGUGAGGGUGUGGUGGAAAGUUUUUCGGUGUGGGAUGGGCCCGCGGCCUAUCAGCUUGUUGGUGGGGUAAUGGCCUACCAAGGCGGCGACGGGUAGCCGGCCUGAGAGGGUGGACGGCCACAUUGGGACUGAGACACGGCCCAGACUCCUACGGGAGGCAGCAGUGGGGAAUAUUGCACAAUGGGCGGAAGCCUGAUGCAGCGACGCCGCGUGGGGGAUGACGGCCUUCGGGUUGUAAACUCCUUUCACCAUCGACGAAGGUUUUCUGACGGUAGAUGGAGAAGAAGCACCGGCUAACUACGUGCCAGCAGCCGCGGUAAUACGUAGGGUGCGAGCGUUGUCCGGAAUUACUGGGCGUAAAGAGCUCGUAGGUGGUUUGUCGCGUCGUCUGUGAAAUUCCGGGGCUUAACUCCGGGCGUGCAGGCGAUACGGGCAUAACUUGAGUACUGUAGGGGAGACUGGAAUUCCUGGUGUAGCGGUGAAAUGCGCAGAUAUCAGGAGGAACACCGGUGGCGAAGGCGGGUCUCUGGGCAGUAACUGACGCUGAGGAGCGAAAGCAUGGGUAGCGAACAGGAUUAGAUACCCUGGUAGUCCAUGCCGUAAACGGUGGGCGCUAGGUGUAGGGGUCUUCCACGACUUCUGUGCCGUAGCUAACGCAUUAAGCGCCCCGCCUGGGGAGUACGGCCGCAAGGCUAAAACUCAAAUGAAUUGACGGGG
rnacentral:rRNA from 1 species